GACGAACGCUGGCGGCGUGCUUAACACAUGCAAGUCGAACGGAAAGGCCCUGCUUUUGUGGGGUGCUCGAGUGGCGAACGGGUGAGUAACACGUGAGUAACCUGCCCUUGACUUUGGGAUAACUUCAGGAAACUGGGGCUAAUACCGGAUAGGAGCUCCUGCUGCAUGGUGGUGGUUGGAAAGUUUCGGCGGUUGGGGAUGGACUCGCGGCUUAUCAGCUUGUUGGUGUGGUAGUGGCUUACCAAGGCUUUGACGGGUAGCCGGCCUGAGAGGGUGACCGGCCACAUUGGGACUGAGAUACGGCCCAGACUCCUACGGGAGGCAGCAGUGGGGAAUAUUGCACAAUGGGCGGAAGCCUGAUGCAGCAACGCCGCGUGCGGGAUGACGGCCUUCGGGUUGUAAACCGCUUUCGCCUGUGACGAAGCGUGAGUGACGGUAAUGGGUAAAGAAGCACCGGCUAACUACGUG
rnacentral:rRNA from 1 species